rnacentral:rRNA from 1 species
UACGAAGGUCCCUAGCGUUGUUCGGAAUUAUUGGGCGUAAAGCGCUUGUAGGUGGCUUUGCAAGUUGGGUGUGAAAGCCCCGGGCUCAACCCGGGAAGUGCACUCAAAACUGCAUAGCUUGAGUACGGUAGAGGUGAGUGGAAUACCUGGUGUAGUGGUGAAAUACGUAGAUAUCAGGUGGAACAUCAGUGGCGAAGGCGGCUCACUGGACCAGUACUGACACUGAGAAGCGAAAGCAUGGGGAUCAAACAGG